GUCUGAGAUCCGUCCGUCCUUGUGACCCUUGUCCAUUUGAUAGUUACCAGGCAUGGGUUUGACAGAGAAAGUUAAUCUCCCCUGCGCACACUGGAGGCACGGGACCUCUCACUGCUGGACCGCCGUGGUGGUACCCAGAGGCACCUUCCUGCACGCUGAGCCUCGCUGCCGUGAUGCGUUUGGGGAGAGGCUGCAAAUCUGCACUGCGCAAGUGUCCUGCAGCUCUUGGAGUGGUGUCUUUUCCCCUUUGCUGAGGAUUCCCCAUGGAAAAGAAGCCACUCUAGACAGUCUUGGAGGGAAGAGAGCAAACUCCUGAGCAGGAAUGGAGGUGGACCAGAGUCAGUAAGCCUUUCAGAAGACUUUGAAGGUCAGGUGCUGAGCUGAGGAAGACCUCCCGUUCCCUCAGUUUCCUUGCUCUCUCCCCGGUCCGACUACCUGGAUAGAAACUGUGCCAGUUGCAGUCAGGCCAGCGUGAGUCAUCUUCUGCCACUGUUUUCCUGGCACAAGGACUGUGCCGCUGCGUGUGGGUGGAAGCCGCGCACACAUAUGCACAAAUACGGCUCAAGCAUCACUCGGGACAAGGCCGACUUUGCAGAGCCGGGCGGCUGGAGCUGCCCCCGGUGCCCACCCCAGCUCCAGCAUGGACUGAGCAGCUCCAAGGCUCUGCACCCAUAGAGGGGGCCUCAAAUUGCCAGCCGCUGAGGGCUUUGAAAUGGUUGGACCCCCCCCCCCGAAGCCCUACACACACACCCCUUGGGUCAGAAAAUCAGGACGCUGGAGUGUUUCAUCUAGGAUAGGUUUGGGGAGAAAAGAGGACUGGGAUCUGGUGACCAGCUGUAGGGAUCAGCCAGCCAAAAUCGCUCUAGUCUCACUGCCGCUCUCCCCGCGCUGCUCUCUUCUCCCAUCCCUGCUUCAGACCCAGCGAUAGACACCAGUCCCCCCCCGCAUCCGCCUCCCCCCGCUCUUCUCUCCGCAGCCAGCCCAGGCGGGCUGGCAUCUGGCCCAGGCCUGCGGCACCUGCCUCCUCGCCAAGCACACCAGAACCCGGCAAAGCUUUCCACCCCUCUCAGCGCUGCCCGGGGUUCGGGUCAGGCAAAGGGGGGUGUUCAGCUUCAUCAGCCCCAAAGAGAGGCCAGUCCCAGGGUCCCCCCUUCCUUCCACAGCUCCUUUGGCAGCAAUAAAGCCCAGCGGCCGUAUACGCCGGAGUCGUCU
rnacentral:lncRNA from 1 species